rnacentral:lncRNA from 1 species
UUAGUGCACAGAAAAAAUUCAUGGAAAAGUUCUCUUGUACAACAAAGCUAUUGAGCAAAAAAUCGAGCAAGUUGGUAGAGCUAAAUUUUAAAAACGUAACACAAGAGGAUUUACAACAUUGAAAUGGUCGUUUCCGACAAUCUGGAGACUGUAAAGUAUUCAAAAUAUUCUCAACUUGGCACACGUGAAAAUUGGUACAAUUUCCGAAAAUUCUGAUGACCUUUUCGAUCCCCCCCCCGGCCCCCCGUCGCCAAACUUCCGGAAAAAUGUUUCAGGUCAUCCAUGAAAAAAUAUCUUGCAAAGAAAUGUGCUAGAAAAAAAUAAUCUUGCC